rnacentral:rRNA from 1 species
GUGGGGAAUAUUGGACAAUGGGCGAAAGCCUGAUCCAGCCAUGCCGCGUGUGUGAAGAAGGUCUUCGGCUUGUAAAGCACUUUAAGUUGGGAGGAAGGGCAGUAAGUUAAUACCUUGCUGUUUUGACGUUACCAACAGAAUAAGCACCGGCUAACUUCGUGCCAGCAGCCGCGGUAAUACGAAGGGUGCAAGCGUUAAUCGGAAUUACUGGGCGUAAAGCGCGCGUAGGUGGUUCAGCAAGGUGAAGGUGAAAUCCCCGGGCUCAACCUGGGAAGUGCCUCCAAAACUACUGUGCUAGAGUACGGUAGAGGGUAGUGGAAUUUCCUGUGUAGCGGUGAAAUGCGUAGAUAUAGGAAGUAACACCAGUGGCGAAGGCUACUACCUGGACUGAUACUGACACUGAGGUGCGAAAGCGUGGGGAGCAAACAGGAUUAGAAACCCGAGUAGUCC